rnacentral:lncRNA from 1 species
AUUUGGAUAUUUAGGUUUUACUAUGUUAUCUUUUGUUACAAUUUUAUUAUUUAUAAAGUUUAGAGAAUAAUUUUAUUAAGUUUUAUACAUAGGUAUUUAUUUUUAUAUUUGUUUAGGACUAUUCCAUUUAAAUGGAUGUGGUUAGGACUAUUCCAUUUAAAUGGAUGUGGUUAGGACUAUUCCAUUUAAAUGGAUGCGGUUAGGACUAUUCCAUUUAAAUGGAUUUGGGUGGGUAGGGAAGGACUGCCAUUAUUCUUCAUAACCAUCAUGUUUUAAUACUUCAUACAUCAAAUGGAAAAACAAUCAUAAAUGACCAAUAACCCAUCUCCAAAAAUAAAUUUCCAUUUGUAUCCUUGCACAUAAAUAGAAUUGCCAUUCGUUAAUUAUGUUCAUUAUACUUUAUGCUAAAAUGCCACUUUUUUAUUGGUUAAUAAAAAGGAGAUAUUCUACAACAGCAUAGAGAUACUUGAUCAAUAGUGUGCUUUAUUACAUGAGCCGAUCAGAUAGAAAAGAGGGGCAAAAGAUCCAGAGGGACAUUAAAACUAAAGGCUAAGCAACACUAACCCCACCAAAAACUGGGGGUGAUCUCAGGAGCUCCAACCUUUUGCAAAUGAAUUUCAAUGCAUUUGUUACAAACCUAUUUCGGGUUAAAAUAUUCUAAGCAAUAAUCGUAACUGUUUGAAAUUUUAGACGAUACCAGACCCUUUCAAAACAGACCAAAAUUUAUCUUUAUUUUGUAUCUGAAUGUUCCAAACAUCAAUUAAAAGUCUAUUACGUGUACAUGUAUAUGUGUACUGGCAUAACGUUGAUCUCUGUCUGAUGCAACUCAAUCACAGAUGGUUUUCAUGUACUUGAUGUCAUAGUUUAUUGCUUUUAAUUUUAAAGAUGUUAUUAACAGAGCAUUUAGUAUAAUAAACUAAUGCUUGGCCAUGGUUUUAAAUGUUAUCAUAGGGUAAUAAACUGCUCUAUCACCUUUUCAUCUAUGCAUUAUUUAUUUACUAUGAAAUGAGACAAUUCCUCCUACCUGUAAGUAUUAAUUUAUCGUGAUGUUGUCCCAAACUUAUCAUUAUAGCAGGAAUAAAUUCUGUGUUAUAUUCUAUAAUUUUCUGUAUAUUUGUUUAUAGAUAUUAAAGCUUAGUGUAUUGUACAUAGGGAUCUUUAUUUAUGUGC